GACGAACGCUGGCGGCGUGCUUAACACAUGCAAGUCGAACGCUGAAGCUCAGCUUUUGUUGGGUGGAUGAGUGGCGAACGGGUGAGUAACACGUGAGUAACCUGCCCCCUUCUUUGGGAUAACGCCCGGAAACGGGUGCUAAUACUGGAUAUUCACUUGCCUUCGCAUGGGGGUUGGUGGAAAGGUUUUUCUGGUGGGGGAUGGGCUCGCGGCCUAUCAGCUUGUUGGUGGGGUGAUGGCCUACCAAGGCUUUGACGGGUAGCCGGCCCGAGAGGGUGACCGGUCACAUUGGGACUGAGAUACGGCCCAGACUCCUACGGGAGGCAGCAGUGGGGAAUAUUGCACAAUGGGCGAAAGCCUGAUGCAGCGACGCCGCGUGAGGGAUGGAGGCCUUCGGGUUGUAAACCUCUUUCGCUCAUGGUCAAGCCGCAGCUUUGGGUUGUGGUGAGGGUAGUGGGUAAAGAAGCGCCGGCUAACUACGUGCCAGCAGCCGCGGUAAUACGUGGGCGCGAGCGUUGUCCGGAAUUAUUGGGCGUAUAGGGCUUGUAGGCGAUUGGUCGCGUCUGCCGUGAAAUCCUCUGGCUUAACUGGGGGCGUGCAUUGGGUACUGUCUGACUUGAUUGCGUUAAGGGAGACUGGGAACUCCUGGAGUAGCGGUGGAAUGCGCAAAUAUCAUGAAUAACACCAGGUGGCCAAGGUCGGGUCUCUGGCUCCUCUAUUGUUGCAAGUGGAAGCUAAAGCGUCGAGAAGCGAACAAGAUUACAUAACCUAGGUACCCCCGAGGGGCAAAUUGGCAAGUGAUAUCAGGCUAUACAGCUCUGUUCAACCCACGGAGAUAGUUCAGAGAGCAUAUAUUAUUCUUUUUAUUCGCUGU
rnacentral:rRNA from 1 species